UGGGGAAUAUUGGACAAUGGGGGCAACCCUGAUCCAGCGAUGCCGCGUGUGUGAAGAAGGCCUUCGGGUUGUAAAGCACUUUCAGCGAGGAGGAAGGGAGUUGUGUUAAUAGCACAGCUUCUUGACGUUACUCGCAGAAGAAGCACCGGCUAACUCUGUGCCAGCAGCCGCGGUAAUACAGAGGGUGCAAGCGUUAAUCGGAAUUACUGGGCGUAAAGCGCGCGUAGGUGGUUUGUUAAGUUGGAUGUGAAAGCCCCGGGCUCAACCUGGGAACUGCAUCCAAAACUGGCAAGCUAGAGUACGGUAGAGGGUGGUGGAAUUUCCUGUGUAGCGGUGAAAUGCGUAGAUAUAGGAAGGAACACCAGUGGCGAAGGCGACCACCUGGACUGAUACUGACACUGAGGUGCGAAAGCGUGGGGAGCAAACAGGAUUAGAUACCCCCGUAGUCCCUGAGCGGGCUGGCAAGGCGCAU
rnacentral:rRNA from 1 species